rnacentral:rRNA from 1 species
UGGGGAAUUUUGGACAAUGGGCGCAAGCCUGAUCCAGCCAUACCGCGUGUCUGAAGAAGGCCUUCGGGUUGUAAAGGACUUUUGUCAGGGAAGAAAAGGAUAGGGUUAAUACCCCUGUCUGAUGACGGUACCUGAAGAAUAAGCACCGGCUAACUACGUGCCAGCAGCCGCGGUAAUACGUAGGGUGCGAGCGUUAAUCGGAAUUACUGGGCGUAAAGCGGGCGCAGACGGUUACUUAAGCAGGAUGUGAAAUCCCCGGGCUCAACCUGGGAACUGCGUUCUGAACUGGGUGACUAGAGUGUGUCAGAGGGAGGUAGAAUUCCACGUGUAGCAGUGAAAUGCGUAGAGAUGUGGAGGAAUACCGAUGGCGAAGGCAGCCUCCUGGGAUAACACUGACGUUCAUGCCCGAAAGCGUGGGUAGCAAACAGGAUUAGAUACCCUGGUAGUCCACGCCCUAAACGAUGUCGAUUAGCUGUUGGGCAGCUUGACUGCUUAGUAGCGAAGCUAACGCGUGAAAUCGACCGCCUGGGGAGUACGGUCGCAAGAUUA